GCACCUGUAGCUCAGUGGAUAGAGCAGUUCCCUUCUAAGGAAAAGGUCGGGGGUUCAACUCCCUCCAGGUGCGCCA
rnacentral:tRNA from 1 species